rnacentral:lncRNA from 10 species
AGCCUGCCCAGUAUAGCACUACAAUAAGCUGAAUUUUAUAAAUUGGGUUUUGAGUUAAGGAAUCAAAAGCUUCAGGCUUAAGUCCCACCUCUGCCCCAGAGUCUUCUGAGCCCUCCAUUUUCACAGACGUCAGUUGCCCUAGGUGGAACUGGACUUUAAUAUUCUCCACAUCCCUUAUUUUUUCCCAAAACAGUUUACCAGCUUUUUCUUUCCUGAACCAGGAGCAAUAGCAAAAAUUGGGAAUGGGAAGAAACAGGUACCAGCCAGGACACCUGAACGAACUUGGAGCUCAGGAACCCAGGAGGGGAUUGGAGAGAGUGGGGAGACUCCAUGGUCCACAAUGAAUGCUCCUUCCCCAUCCGAAAAAAUCCCCUAGCCCAGUUUUUGGGCAGAUGCCAGACUUUUAUUCUGAAGCGUGGGCCACAACCUAUGAGGUAAUCUUUGGAGCUUCAUUCUGAGGCGGAAUCCCAUUGGCCAGUUGGGGAAGCCCCUCCCAGGAUUCCUGGCGCUCCGCCUUCCCUGAAGCCUAUAAAAGCGCAGGUCCCCGCCUCGGCAGCCACGGGACACCUGCAUCUGCCAACAAGACUGGAAGCAGAAAGGGACAGAGACGGCGAAGUUUGACGGUCUGGAAAGCAGAGACCAGCAGGGCUGACUGCUUGGGAGCACCAAAUAUCCGGACAGCGCCUCUCGGGAGGUCCGAGAAGAGAACCGCGAUCUGUUUCAGCACCGGGGCUCAGGACAGUUCCCAGCGGGCUCCGUUUCGUCUCCAGAACCCUGGACAGCUCCUCCAGAGACGGGGUUUCACCAUGUUGGCCAGGCUGGUCUCAAACUCUUGACCUCUUCAUCCGUCCACCUCAGCCUCCCAAAGUGCUAGGAUUACAGGCGUGAGUCACUGCGCCUGGCCCAAGUCCGGAAUUUUCAACAGGACAUGGGUGUUACUGUGCCCAUGUGACAUUUGGGGAACCCAAGGCCCUGAGAAAGGCAGAAAAAUAACCCACGCAGGGACUCUCAGCCCACAAGUGAAGCUGAGAACCGGGAAUGGAAAACAGGGAGGCAGCACAGAGGCAGGAAACUCAGGUGUCAUAGCUUGGCUCAGGUGAGAAGGAGGAGCUGGGCAGGGGUCUCAGACAUGGGGCAGAGGGUGGUGAAGAAGAUUAGAGUGGCUGUGGUCUAGUGCUGUGUGGAAGACUAGUGAUUUUGUUGUUCUGAUGUACUACGACAACAAGUCACAGCCGGCCUCAUAGCGCAGACUCCCUUCGACCUUCGCCUUCAAUGGGCUGGCCAGUGGGGGAGAACCGGGGAGGUCGGGGAAGAAUCGCUUCCACUCGGAGUGGGGGGGCUGGCUCACUCCAGGCGAUACAGGCACAGGCAAAGGAGGGAAGCAAACAAGGACAUACAUCCUGUGCUCAUACAGCCAUGCACCAUGUAUGGGGUUUGUCACAUCACUCGUACGCCCCCACAAGCCUGGAGAUAGAACAUACCUGACUCUAAACCCAAGACCUCUAACCACCUUAUGGCGCUUUCCUGGGAGACCCAAUGAGGGAAUGACAUUUAAAGCCCUCCCUAGACCAG